rnacentral:rRNA from 1 species
AUUGAACGCUGGCGGCAGGCCUAACACAUGCAAGUCGAGCGGUAGAGAGAAGCUUGCUUCUCUUGAGAGCGGCGGACGGGUGAGUAAUGCCUAGGAAUCUGCCUAGUGGUGGGGGAUAACGUUCGGAAACGGACGCUAAUACCGCAUACGUCCUACGGGAGAAAGCGGGGGACCUUCGGGCCUCGCGCCAUUAGAUGAGCCUAGGUCGGAUUAGCUAGUUGGUGAGGUAAAGGCUCACCAAGGCGACGAUCCGUAACUGGUCUGAGAGGAUGAUCAGUCACACUGGAACUGAGACACGGUCCAGACUCCUACGGGAGGCAGCAGUGGGGAAUAUUGGACAAUGGGCGAAAGCCUGAUCCAGCCAUGCCGCGUGUGUGAAGAAGGUCUUCGGAUUGUAAAGCACUUUAAGUUGGGAGGAAGGGUAGUAACUUAAUACGUUGCUACUUUGACGUACCGACAG